AGACGAAGGGAGCAAGCGUUAUUCGGAAUAACUGGGCGUAAAGAGCGUGUAGGCGGUAAACUAAGUCAGUUGUUAAAUUCCCUGGCUUAACUAGGGGUCAGCAAUUGAUACUGGUUUACUAGAGGGCAAGAGAGAGAAGUGGAAUUCUCGGAGUAGCGGUAAAAUGCAUAGAUCUCGAGAGGAACACCGGUUGCGAAGGCGGCUUCUUGGCUUGUACCUGACGCUAAAGCGCGAAAGCGUGGGGAGCAAACAGGAUUAGAUACCCUGGUAGUCCACGCUGUAAACGAUGAUCACUGGAUGUGGGUUCUGUUUAACAGGGCCUGUGUCGAAGCUAACGCGUUAAGUGAUCCGCCUGGGAAGUACGGUCGCAAGAUUAAA
rnacentral:rRNA from 1 species